GCGCAAGCCUGAUCCAGCCAUGCCGCGUGAGUGAAGAAGGCCCUAGGGUUGUAAAGCUCUUUCACCCGCGAAGAUGAUGACGGUAGCGGGAGAAGAAGCCCCGGCUAACUCCGUGCCAGCAGCCGCGGUAAUACGGAGGGGGCAAGCGUUGUUCGGAAUUACUGGGCGUAAGGGCGCGUAGGCGGUCUGUUGCGUCAGGUGUGAAAGCCCCGGGCUCAACCUGGGAGGUGCACUUGAUACGGGCGGACUUGAAUCCGGGAGAGGAUGGUGGAAUUCCCAGUGUAGAGGUGAAAUUCGUAGAUAUUGGGAAGAACACCGAUGGCGAAGGCAGCCAUCUGGACCGGUAUUGACGCUGAGGCGCGAAAGCGUGGGGAGCAAACAGGAUUAGAUCCCUGGUAGUCACGCCGUAAACGAUGUGCGCUAGCCGUCGGGCAGCAUGCUGUUCGGUG
rnacentral:rRNA from 1 species